AGUGAACGCUGGCGGUAGGCCUAACACAUGCAAGUCGAACGGCAGCACAGUAAGAGCUUGCUCUUACGGGUGGCGAGUGGCGGACGGGUGAGGAAUACAUCGGAAUCUACUUUUUCGUGGGGGAUAACGUAGGGAAACUUACGCUAAUACCGCAUACGACCUACGGGGGAAAGCAGGGGAUCUUCGGACCUUGCGCGAUUGAAUGAGCCGAUGUCGGAUUAGCUAGUUGGCGGGGUAAAGGCCCACCAAGGCGACGCUCCGUAGCUGGUCUGAGAGGGUGAUCAGCCACACUGGAACUGAGACACGGUCCAGACUCCUACGGUAGGCAGCAGUGGGGAAUAUUGGACAAUGGGCGCAAGCCUGAUCCAGCCAUACCGCGUGAGUGAAGAAGGCCUUCGGGUUGUAAAGCCCUUUUGUUGGGAAAGAAAAGCAGCAGGUUAAUACCCCGCUGUUCUGACGGUACCCAAAGAAUAAGCACCGGCUAACUUCGUG
rnacentral:rRNA from 1 species